UCAAAAUAAAAUAAAAUUUAUAAUUCAAAUCAAAUUAGAAAUUAUAUAAUAAACUAAGUUUAAUAACACAAAAUAGCACUAUAACAUCAAUUGACAACAUACUGCCUUCAAAAAAAUCAAUUGGCAACAUACUACCAAAACAAAGUGCCAAGUGAAAAAGCAAAAACUAAAUGUUCAUCAACUUCAUAAAGACUAGUGUCAUAACAUCCAUUGCCAAAUGCAACGUAGUGCCAAGUUAAAAACUAAAUGUUCAUCUAGACAUAAAAAGUUAAAAACUAAAAAAAAAGAAGGUUAAAACGACGUCGUUCUGCCUUUUUUUUUACUGGUUCGACCCUGGUUCACGUGGUUUUUUUCCGAUCGGUUUCCUAUCAGUUUUUUUCAUAACCGAACCGUUUCCAUGACCGGUUCACGGUCCGACCGAUCCGGUUUUGAUAACCUUGAC
rnacentral:lncRNA from 1 species